rnacentral:rRNA from 1 species
AUGAACGCUAGCGACAGGCCUAACACAUGCAAGUCGAGGGGCAGCGGAGAGGUAGCAAUACCUUUGCCGGCGACCGGCGCACGGGUGAGUAACACGUAUGCAAUCCACCUGUAACAGGGGGAUAACCCGGAGAAAUCCGGACUAAUACCCCAUAAUAUGGGCUCUCCGCAUGGAGGGUUCAUUAAAGAGAGCAAUUUUGGUUACAGACGAGCAUGCGCUCCAUUAGCCAGUUGGCGGGGUAACGGCCCACCAAAGCGACGAUGGAUAGGGGUUCUGAGAGGAAGGUCCCCCACAUUGGAACUGAGACACGGUCCAAACUCCUACGGGAGGCAGCAGUGAGGAAUAUUGGUCAAUGGUCGGCAGACUGAACCAGCCAAGUCGCGUGAGGGAAGACGGCCCUACGGGUUGUAAACCUCUUUUGUCGGAGAGUAAAGUACGCUACGUGUAGCGUAUUGCAAGUAUCCGAAGAAAAAGCAUCGGCUAACUCCGUGCCAGCAGCCGCGGUAAUACGGAGGAUGCGAGCGUUAUCCGGAUUUAUUGGGUUUAAAGGGUGCGUAGGCGGCACGCCAAGUCAGCGGUGAAAUUUUCGGGCUCAACCCGGACUGUGCCGUUGAAACUGGCGAGCUAGAGUGCACAAGAGGCAGGCGGAAUGCGUGGUGUAGCGGUGAAAUGCAUAGAUAUCACGCAGAACCCCGAUUGCGAAGGCAGCCUGCUAGGGUGCGACAGACGCUGAGGCACGAAAGCGUGGGUAUCGAACAGGAUUAGAUACCCUGGUAGUCCACGCAGUAAACGAUGAAUACUAACUGUUUGCGAUACAAUGUAAGCGGUACAGCGAAAGCGUUAAGUAUUCCACCUGGGGAGUACGCCGGCAACGGUGAAACUCAAAGGAAUUGACGGGGGCCCGCACAAGCGGUGGAGCAUGUGGUUUAAUUCGAAGCAACGCGAAGAACCUUACCUGCUCUUGACAUCCCGGUGACCGGCGUGUAAUGACGCCUUUUCUUCGGAACACCGGUGACAGGUGGUGCAUGGUUGUCGUCAGCUCGUGCCGUGAGGUGUCGGCUUAAGUGCCAUAACGAGCGCAACCCCUAUCGACAGUUACUAACGGGUCAAGCCGAGGACUCUGUCGAGACUGCCGGCGCAAGCCGCGAGGAAGGUGGGGAUGACGUCAAAUCAGCACGGCCCUUACGUCCGGGGCGACACACGUGUUACAAUGGCAGGUACAGAAGGCAGCCAGUCAGCAAUGACGCGCGAAUCCCGAAAACCUGUCUCAGUUCGGAUUGGAGUCUGCAACCCGACUCCAUGAAGCUGGAUUCGCUAGUAAUCGCGCAUCAGCCAUGGCGCGGUGAAUACGUUCCCGGGCCUUGUACACACCGCCCGUCAAGCCAUGGAAGCCGGGAGUACCUGAAGCAUGCAACCGCAAGGAGCGUACGAAGGUAAUACCGGUAACUGGGGCU